rnacentral:tRNA from 1 species
CGCGGCGAUCAGGGUGUGGCCGAGCAGGCCGCGGCGCUCGCGUCGCCGCAGCCGUUGUGGGCGUUGUGGCGGUUCAACACCGACCCGGCGUGG